rnacentral:sRNA from 1 species
UUUUGACCAAUGUGUUUUUGAGACUCUUGAUCUCAAGACUGAAGAAAAUUCAUAAUCUGGCGACUAUUGCAAUAGGCAACUUCGAUAGGCUUCCGAAAGCUGGCACACAAGCCAACCUUUGAAUCUAUAAUGCCCUUACAAAAAUAAAAUGGAGAGUUACUGGUCACCUUAGGGUAAAGAUGUGCAGCCAGCUAAUUCCUCUAAAGACUUGCAGAUGCAUAGAAGACCGAAGCACCUGCCAUUCCUGUCUGAACUUAACCAAGUUAGAGGUAAAGGGUAGUCUAUGUUAAUGAAAAUAUUAUGUUGCUGAGAAACCAAACUGGACCAGAGCUGGAAAGGCCUUCUGCACUGGCUGGUGUCCUCAGUCAGAAGGCGACAAGAGAGCUAUUAGGGAGAAAGCCACCAACAAUCAUGCUCAACUGUAGACCUUGACCGCUGAGCUACCCGGCAAGACACUCCCACAAUAGCGUGGGGGCGUAAAUCUCAGCGUCUGAAACCCUCCCUUUUCUCCGUACUGUACUUAAAUUGAUCUUUGCUGUUGUGGUGGUGGUGGUUUUGACCCUUGGGAGUAUAUAAAAACUUUUCCAAUUUUUCUUUUUAAACAUUUGAAAAUUACAGCCACCUAGAAUCUAUUCUAGAAUUUACGAUGCCAUAACCUGGUUAUUUGAAAAAGUUGAGCUUCAAUCCAGCACAAAAAAUUGAUUCUUUUCCAACCUGGAGACCUCAGAAUGUUCUGAUCUUGGUAAAAUUGCUGCUAGAAUACAAAUGAAUGAUGUUGCUUCCAUUCCAGCCACGUGUUUCCAUAGCAACCUUAAAUGGGGCCGAGACCAGAUCACUAGAGCUUUCCACAUUCUGGUUUGAGGCUCCUGCCCCUCUCUGUGCUGAUCAGUGGGUUUUAAGAGUGAGAUCAACCAGGCGAAGAGCUAUCUAAGCCUGAGUGUGUAUGCUGGCAACAACAGAGAGGUGCAGACAGACAGAGGGACAAGCUGAUCGCAGCACCUCAGAAUCCAUUGGGUGUCAGGUGCUGGUUUGCGCACAAGUUCUGUGGGGUGUGCUAUCUCAAUUAUUCACCCUUUUCCAUGUAACUUUUGUUAAGAACAAAUUAUAUUUAUCUUUUAAUGAAAGUUUGUCAUUUUGAAAACAGAUUAGGCACAUAUCUAUAUUCCCAUAAGUCUAGUUUAUAUCGAUGAAAAAUAUUCAUCAACCGCACCAUCAGCUUGCCAGACGAAUGUAAGAAACGGGAUGGUAAGAUGGGUUUCUACCUCACCCCGCUGCUACGUCAGAAUUAGUAAAUGACAGAGUAGAUGAGUAGAGUGUCACAGAACAGCGUUGCUCACUGCACAACAUGAAGACUAGCUCUCUGGGGCCUGGAGCACUGAGGGAGGAGGCUGCAGAAGGUUGUGAUGUUGCCUGCUCUGCUCUCUAAAGCACCCGCCAUUCAAAUCGAAGCUAUGUGUCAGGAGACGUAUUGGAGAGGUGACUCAGAGGUCC